rnacentral:rRNA from 1 species
AGUGAACGCUGGCGGUAGGCCUAACACAUGCAAGUCGAACGGCAGCACAGUAAGAGCUUGCUCUUACGGGUGGCGAGUGGCGGACGGGUGAGGAAUACAUCGGAAUCUACUUUUUCGUGGGGGAUAACGUAGGGAAACUUACGCUAAUACCGCAUACGACCUACGGGUGAAAGCAGGGGAUCUUCGGACCUUGCGCGAUUGAAUGAGCCGAUGUCGGAUUAGCUAGUUGGCGGGGUAAAGGCCCACCAAGGCGACGAUCCGUAGCUGGUCUGAGAGGAUGAUCAGCCAGACUGGAACUGAGACACGGUCCAGACUCCUACGGGAGGCAGCAGUGGGGAAUAUUGGACAAUGGGCGCAAGCCUGAUCCAGCCAUACCGCGUGGGUGAAGAAGGCCUUCGGGUUGUAAAGCCCUUUUGUUGGGAAAGAAAAGCAGCAGGUUAAUACCGCGCUGUUCUGACGGUACCCAAAGAAUAAGCACCGGCUAACUUCGUG